UGACGUUUCCCAUUCACUUUUCAGUUGUAGCGCAACAGCAGAGGACUACGGAACAAUAUUUCGGACUAACUUUGAUCGAAAACCACUAAAUUAAUGUCUCAUAUGGCUACAUUUCUUAAGAAGUGUGGGUUUUAUUUCGCCUUCGACGAUAUUAUCGGACUUUUUUUCGGUUCAAGCGAAGUUAUUAGCAGUUGAAAGCAAAGCUCGCGAAUAGCCUAUACUCGCUAGAAAUAGUCUAGCCGAUAUCUAAAAUGAAUAAUCUUAUUUUGUGGUUCAAUUAUAAUUUAAAGCUGAUUUCAAGGAGAAUGUGUAUAGAUUUACUUGUUUUUUUUUCGUCCAGGAGACGGAGCAGGCAUGGAAUUCCAAUUGCUGCAUGCGCAAGUCUGGAAAAUGGAAGUCACCGCCUCCAGGAGGUUGAUCGGUUGGAAAUUCUCCAUGCAGUUUUCCCUUUCCCAAUUCCAGAUAAAACUACUUAACACAAUUAAUAUGUUCAAACUCAUAUGGAAAACUAACAGCGAAACAAAUGGCUGUUUACAAUGUAUACAAUGCAGAGUUGGACUUGUAUUUUUCUUAUUAUUUGCAGUAUGCAGAGCGUGUGUCAUUGCUGUGACUGGAUCCGACACCACUACCGUCACUUGAGCGCAUAAUUCCAUUCUCUGAUGGACCAGAUUGGAGGAGAUAUCACAAAGCAGAAUGCCCCUGUCCUUUUCUCAACAUCACUUUACAGACCCAUAGAUGCCGAGUUUGAGGACAAAGUCAGAUUCCGGAACGAGGUCAUCUAUAAAAUCACAAAACUGUUUGAUGGGAAUAAGAAGUCCGUCACCUGGGACAAGAAAAACCUGGACGAUUUACUUAAAAUUCUAGAAAACUAAUUUGAAAACCUUAAUUCCUGUGUAAGUAACGGGUCUAUUUAAAGUAUAAUCCCUGUUCAUGUCAGGGUUGUCCAAUCCCGUUUAUGUUGAGUUACCCUCCUGUAAGUUUUCGCUCCAACCCCAGUUGUAACUAACCUGGUUAAGUUUAUCAACUACCUAAUUAAUCAGGUGUGGUAGAUUAGGGUUGGAGUGAAAACCUACAGGAAUGUAGUUCUCCAGGAACAGGGUUGGAGAGCCCUGGUUUAGCUGUAGCCUACUGACUCUACAAGUGGAGAAAUGGACUUAUAAAGGACAUAUAAUGUGUUCAACUUUUUCCACAUUUUGUUACC